rnacentral:rRNA from 1 species
ACCACAAGAACGCGUGGAGCAUGUGGCUUAAUUUGACUCAACGCGGGAAAUCUUACCGGGUCCGGACACACUGAGGAUUGACAGGCAAUAUCUCAUGGUUAUUAACCCGGUUAUUACAUUUUGUUUAAUCGGUUAUUAAGCAUCGAGUGUUAAAUAUGCUAUCCUUUCAUGAUUAUGUGAUAGGUGGUGCAUGGCCGUUCUUAGUUCGUGGAGUGAUCUGUCUGCUUAAUUGCGUUUCACUAAGGGCCCAUAAAUUCAAGGUAUGUUAGCUAUCGUCGCUCUAUGGACCCCUU